rnacentral:rRNA from 1 species
AUUGAACGCUGGCGGCAUGCCUUACACAUGCAAGUCGAACGGUAGAGUAGCAAUACUUGAGAGUGGCGAACGGGUGAGUAAUAUAUCGGAACGUGCCCAGUCGUGGGGGAUAACGUAGCGAAAGUUACGCUAAUACCGCAUACGAUCUAAGGAUGAAAGCGGGGGAUCGCAAGACCUCGCGCGAUUGGAGCGGCCGAUAUCAGAUUAGGUAGUUGGUGAGGUAAAGGCUCACCAAGCCAACGAUCUGUAGCUGGUCUGAGAGGACGACCAGCCACACUGGAACUGAGACACGGUCCAGACUCCUACGGGAGGCAGCAGUGGGGAAUUUUGGACAAUGGACGCAAGUCUGAUCCAGCAAUGCCGCGUGCAGGAUGAAGGCCUCGGUUGGUAACUAGCUUUGUACGGUAACG